rnacentral:rRNA from 1 species
AUUGAACGCUGGCAGCAGGCUUAACACAUGCAAGUCGAGCGGAGUGAUGGUGCUUGCACUAUCACUUAGCGGCGGACGGGUGAGUAAUGCUUAGGAAUCUGCCUAUUAGUGGGGGACAACAUCUCGAAAGGGAUGCUAAUACCGCAUACGUCCUACGGGGGAAAGCAGGGGAUCACUUGUGACCUUGCGCUAAUAGAUGAGCCUAAGUCGGAUUAGCUAGUUGGUGGGGUAAAGGCCUACCAAGGCGACGAUCCGUAGCGGGUCUGCGAGGAUGGUCCGCCACUCUGGGACUGAGACACGGCCCAGGCUCCGACGGGAGGCAGCAGUGGGGAAUAUUGGACAAUGGGGGGAACCCUGAUCCAGCCAUGCCGCGUGUGUGAAGAAGGCCUUAUGGUUGUAAAGCACUUUAAGCGAGGAGGAGGCUCUUUUGGUUAAUACCCAAGAUGAGUGGACGUUACUCGCAGAAUAAGCACCGGCUAACUCUGUGCCAGCCGCCGCGGUAA